UGCCCCAGAAGCUUCAAAGAGCGUGCCGGCGCCGAACCCCGACCCAGCACCCAGCGCAGUUCCAGCUUCGCCACAGCUACAAGCACAUCAUUCACAGCCAGAAGAAGCCACACAGCAGAAGGAAACACAAGAUCUCCACAAAGAGAACUAGAAUCUUCACCUCACCACUAGCCCAGAAGGACAAGCACGUCUAGCCACGCUGUCAGCUGCUUCAAACCUACUGAUGUUCAAGGCAGAAAACGUCCCCACUAGAGAUCCACUGAUCUUCUGGAUGGAGGUAAAACAAAAAGCAGUUGAAAGCGGGGGGGAUUGAACUGAACUGAUCUCUGCACCCGUGUAUUUACCAAUAGAAGAGGGCUGGCAGCAGGGAGGGGGAACAAUAGGAGCAUUCCCAGUUGUGCGAAGUAAUGGCACAACACCUGAUCAAUAUGUACCCUUUAACUGGCAAGUCCUUUCCGAGCUACGCCAGCUGGCUGCUAACAGGGACUAGGAUCUCCUGCUGUAGCAAGUAUGCUAAGAUUUAUAACUGCUAGUGAAUUAACUCCAUAUGAUAUGCAGCACUUUGCAAAAUCAAUCUCUAGUCUGGUGCAGUAUAUGAUGUUUGAAACGGCCUGGAGAUCUUACGCAGAGAAUCAGGGGUUGAAAAAUGCAAUAACUUCGCAGCAGGACCCAUGCUUUGGGGCAGGCAUUCCUCAACUAAUGGGAUUGUAUCCCACAGAAGAUCUCCAAACCCAGGCUCGCUUGAACUCUGCAAUUCUAGCCCAAGUGAAAGACUCAGCAAUGUGAGCUCAAACAAAAAUUACAGACUUGUCAGUGCCAACCCAAAGCCAUUCAAGCAUAAGACAGAACCCCAAUGAGUUAUAUAUGUAUGGACGCUAACUGUGAAACAGAGGAGCACAGUGCCUGUGAAAAUUGCAGGCCACAUAACUUUCUCAGUCUUGCCUGAGAAAGUGGCCUGGGAAAUCAUGAGGAGGAAUUAAAACAAUCCUCACAGACAGAAAACAGCCUUGCAGGUGCUGUUUGUCUGUUCCUUGUUUUCUUGCAGGAGAAGGUCGAGGGGUGGUGAGCCCCACUGACCAAUGAUGGUGAUGUGUUAGUUUACUAACCAGUAAGAGUUUCUUUUCUGUACUUUCCACAUAUCGGUCUAGAAAAAAGACCUGAAGCAAUAAACUAAGAGAAAAUUCUCCUGAUUGACUCCUGAGAGAGUCUGUGUCGUUCUUCUCGCCGUUCCUAAUAGAGUGACAUAUAUGCAAUUCAUAGAAGGUUUGCAGGAUGCUAUGGAAAAACAAAUCACAAACAGUGAAAAAAGGGGUCAAUUGAUGCUAGAAUUGGCACGAGAUACUGCAAACCAAGACUCUAGAAAAAUUAUAGAUGCAUUACCUCAAGAGAAUCCCUCUCUGGAGGAGAUGAUUACAGCAUGCGCUAAGGUUGGGACUGGAUCUCAUAACAUGGAUAUGCUAGCCAAUUCUAUUAGAGCUGCUGUUAAACUCACAGCCUAUUGCUAUAAGCAUGGACAACAAGGCCACGUGAAAAUAAACUGUGCACACAAGCCCAUUCUACAGGGGACAUCUCAGGGACAAAGAAGUGGCAAUGCAAGCCACUGAUGUGGGAGAGUCGGACAUACAGCCAAGGUAUGCUGGUCCAAAUUUCAUGUUAAUGGGCAAUCUCUCAAAGACCAGGGAAAAGAGAAGCCCAACGUGAAGGGGAAACACAUGAUGACACAAGUAUUUUCCCACCCUCCAGCACAAGCCUCAACAACCAGCUCACAGCAAGGACAAGGGGAUCAGCUGGCAUGGAUGUUUCCACCUCAAUCCCAAUAACCAUAAACUCAUUCCAAGUGCACAAAGUCUCUCUCGAGGCCCACGGGCUCAUAGGGCAAGGACUGAGUGCGCCGCUAAUAGGGAGAUGCAGUGCAACUUUACAAGCAGAUUCUAAGGAGCCAGGAGACCAAGGCUUCGGAUCAACAGGACAGCCCCAGGUGUACUGGACUCGAGUCGUAGGUGAUCAAAGACCGAAUAUGGUUUGUACUGCUACGAUGCUUCAGGCGAGGCCCUCACAGAUAAAGGUCAGUGGCAUGAUUGACACAGGAGCAGAUGUCACCAUUAUCUCUACCAACACAUGGCACUCAUCCUGGCCUACCACACCUGCAGGAUCUGCUGUUGCUGGCCUUGGAGGGACCACACAGAGCUGUUUGAGCAGCAAUCCGGUGUUAAUCAAAAAUCCAGAAGGCCAAGUAGCCACAGUACGGCCUUACAUCACUGCAGUGCCACUGAACUUGUGGGGGAGGGAUGUUCUGUCAGCAUGGGGGUUAGAGUGGGAAGGGAUUUUUGACAGGGGCCACUGUAUUGAUGGGUGUAAAUUAUCCUACUCCAGCCCUGAAAUGGCUUACAGAUCAGCCCAUGUGGGUGCCACAGUGGUCCCUUGAAAAGCUAGAUGCCCUAAAAUCGUUAGUACAAGAACAGCUAGCCCAAGGACACUUAGAGCCAUCUAUGAGCCCUUGGAACACCCCAGUAUUUGUCAUAAAAAAUAAGAAAAAAAUCCGAUAAAUGGAGAUUUCUCCACUACCUAAGAAAAGUCAAUUCUGUGAUAGAAAGCAUGGGCACAUUGCAAGCAGGUAUGCCAUCUCCCACAAUGAUACCUACCUCCUGGGACAUUCUGACAGUAGAUUUGAAAGAUUGUUUCUUUACUAUUCCACAGCACCCUGAUGAUACCCCAGAGUUUGCUUUUACAGUGCCUUCCAUUAAUAACACAGCAACAGUGCAACAUUAUCAAUGGAAAGUCCUACCCCAGGGGAUGAAAAACAGUCCCGCAGUUUGCCAGUGGUACAUUGCACAGGCACUCUCAUCAGUGAGAAAGCAAUUUCCAAGGGCAUACUGUUACCAUUACAUGGAUGACAUUUUAAUUGCAACCCAAACCAAAAAAGAGCUUUCAGAGAUUCAGCCAAGCUUCCUGCAAGCAUUAAAAACAUUUGGGCUGCAGGUAGCACCAGAGAAGGUGCAGCAGCAAGCACCUUGGAAAUAUUCAGGACUCAAAAUAAUGAACCAGACUAUACAACCACAAACAAUUCAAUUUUCAACCAAAAUUCAGACACUAAAGGAUGCACAAAAACCCAUCAGCUGGGUCAGACCUUAUUUAGGACUGACAAAUUCACAAUUAGCACCUUUAUUUGACCUACUACAAGGUGAUCCGGAAUUAACUUCCCCUAGAAAAUUAACCCCAGAGGCAAAGGCUGCUCUCAAAACAGUGGAGCAAGCUAUCUCAAACUAACAAGUCCACCGGCUAUGCCCAGGCUGCCCUGCACCCUACUGCUAUUCUAGGACAGUAGAACACUCACUGGCCUGAUCCUUUGCACAUCCUAGAGCGGCUGUUUUUACCUCAUCAACCAAAAAAGACAGCACCCACAGUAUUUGAGCUAAGAGCACAGUUAAUCAUCAAAUGUCGUCACAGGUCUUUACAGUUGAACACAAGAGAUCCUUCACGAAUUAUACCUGUGACACAAGAACAUUUUGAAUGGUGUUUUACUAACAGUACGGCCUUGCAAAGAGCCCUGAAAAAUUUCACAGGACAAAUUGCUUAUCAUUUACCAAGCCAGAGAUUGUUAAAGUUAAGUGGAGACACCACAUUAUCUCUUAAACCUCUGAAUAGCAGAACAGCCUUCAAGGGUGUUACAGUGUUUACAGAUGGCUCUGGGAAAACAGGGAAAGCCACAGUGACCUGGAAAGAGGAGGCUGAGUGGCAAGUGUUGGAAAGUUAUCAGAACGCAUCUCCCCAGUUAGUAGAAUUACAUGCUGUAGCUAUGGCUUUCCAACGUUUUCCCCAUAUCCCUCUAAAUAUAGUAACUGAUUCUGCAUUUCUAGCUGACAUCACAUAGAGAUUAGACCAAGCACUGUUAAAGGAAAUUGAUAAUGUGCCAUGGCGGCAGAGGUGGCAGGGGUGCCGCGAUGACCCGGAAGAAGAGGUCCGAGGCUGGACUGCUCGGAGGCACAGGCACAUCCUCUGCCUGGUGAGCGAUUUCAGCUCAGCUCAGCAACAGCGUGCAGGCGACACGGAGAGAGAGACUAGAGCGCUGUGUGGCGUUGUGCAGAGAACUAGCCUUUAUUAAAGCAGGGCCCUCGGCAAAGGGAGCCAGUGACAGCAGCUCUCCUCGAACAGGGGAAAAACUGGGGUAUUUAUAGGGGAGGAGAGGGGUGCGGGGGAAACUGGGAUACACAUGUAUCAGGGUGGA